GCAAAAGCAGAAGUGCAAGAAACUAGACUCUUAAUUGGAAGUAGCAGCAAGUAACAGUUAGUACAAAAACGCAAACUGAAACCAAUCCCACUAAUUUGAGCCACAAAGAAAUAUACAUCAGCAAGUAAUGCCACUCCUCCGUUAUACGGGACAUUAACAAUAUUGCCAUGAACUUCAACUUGUCCAAAUCCACCUCCAUAGAAGGCAACUAAAUAUGUCCUAUUGUUCUCUUGAGUUCUAACAAAUCUCCAAUUAUUAGUAUCAAAUUGCCCAUCUCUAACAUAAACACUAAGAUUCCUCGGAAACAAUCCAGUAACGUCUUCGUCCACGACCUUGAACAUUCGCAGGAUCCAUUUAACAUCUAAUUGGGUAGGAAGAGGAGAAGGU
rnacentral:misc_RNA from 1 species